UGUGCUCACCACUAAACCAUCUCCUCCCCAUGUGGCCCUGAGCCUCCACCCCCAUUCAGCCCCUGCCCCAGCCUGUUCUCCCCCAAUGGCCCUUA